rnacentral:rRNA from 1 species
UACGAAGGGGGCUAGCGUUGCUCGGAAUUACUGGGCGUAAGGCGCACGUAGGCGGCUUUCUAAGUCGGGGGUGAAAUCCUGGAGCUCAACUCCAGAACUGCCUUCGAUACUGGAGAGCUUGAGUCCGGGAGAGGUGAGUGGAACUGCGAGUGUAGAGGUGAAAUUCGUAGAUAUUCGCAAGAACACCAGUGGCGAAGGCGGCUCACUGGCCCGGUACUGACGCUGAGGUGCGAAAGCGUGGGGAGCAAACAGG